AUGAGGACGACCAUGAUGAAGACCCUGAACCACACACCCCUGAACAAGAACAGGAGAACAUGUGCGGGACGAUCUGACUGCUGCUGUGUCUGCUCCAAACAUUUGUGUCUGCUCAACAUGAGCAUGACUACCUGUAAAACAUUUACACAGAUGAACUGGACUGGUGAGCAGAAGGUUUCUGGAUCAAUCUUCACCAGUGAGUCUUUACUCCAGGUGACUCCAGAGGGAUUGAGAUCCUGUAAUAAGAGCACUGUAAGUCACUUCAGAUAAAAGUUUCUGGUCAAUUAAUACAUGUAAAUGUGAAUUUUGUGAAUGCUUUUUUUGUGUCUUGGGCAGAAAAAUUCUCAAUAAAGCUGCUUAUUUCUUAAAGCUUUUUUUCUUCAAUGUUCUACUAUUAUAUUAAGGAAUGCUUACAUUUAAUACAGUUUCUAUUUGGGGUUUUAAAGGGUCAGCUCAUUUAAACGUAUAAAUUCAGUCAUUAAUGACUUGCCUUCAUUCUGUUCAAUUCUUUGUCCAAACACAAAGGGUGAUUUUGGUCAGGUUUCUACUGCUGGUUUGUGUUCAUACAGUAUCAGUCAAUGGAGUUUGACUUUCAGAUUCUUCAUGACAUUAUUUAAUGAUUUAGAAACUUCUGAAACUCAGGUUUUAUUGACUGAUGUUGUAUAAACAGAAACCAGCAGA
rnacentral:lncRNA from 1 species